AUUUUAUCAUCUCAUAUCAUCACAAGAAGGCACUAUAUAUCCAAGAUAAUGAGGAAUUCAGAAGAACUAUCUGCUGAUGAAAACAUCCACAUGCUGGCCUGAUGCCCAACAAAGGUAUUAUCCAUUUGUUUCUACUAAGAAGUUGUCCUUCCUCAAUCCCCAAAAGAGGGCUGUAUUCUACUUCUGUGCAUCCCACAUUCUCCUUGGCCACUGGCAACUGUUGCUGCUAUAUCAUCUCAUCAACCCAGACAUAAUCCUCAUGACCAGCUGAUGCCAAUAAACUUUUAUCUCCUCUGUCUACCUCCAUCAAGUUCCUUACAGACUUGUUAGUUCCAAAGCAACACUUCAGAAAAUAUUCACAUACAAUUCAGAAGACUGAAGGAAUUAAUACUUUGUGCUUUAAGUCAUAACAAUAAAAUUUACUCCCAAUAAUACUACUGUAUCCAUGCAACGCAAUAUUAUUUGGCAAUAAAAAAGAAUGAAAUACUGGGGCCAGCCUGGUGGCAUAGUGGUUAAGUUCACACACUCCA